rnacentral:lncRNA from 1 species
AACCUGUGAAGGAUUAACUUACUGAUUAUGGUUUUAUCAAAUGGACACAAAUAUAUCUAUAGUGAGGGGAGUGCAACUACGGGACUUUAGUGGAAUGACCCGUUAGUUAACGAAUGUUGAUUAACUCGGUUUAAAAGAGUUUAGCUAGUUAAUCUUGAAUCGUUGGAGCCCAUGAUCUAUAGGUCCAUUAGGUUCCUCUGCUAGCUCAUAUGGAUUAAACUUAGAACAGUGUGAUGAAAUAAGUCGAAUUGUUCGAAUAGGGAGAAGAAAGGAAAACCGACAUAUACAGUGAUAUAAUCGUCGGUCUUCUAAUUAGAAAUAGAGCUUUAUGUUUUACAUACUAUAAGUAUGAAUGCAGAUUCAUACUAAGAAGCUCGGAAUUGGUCAAAAAUAGUAAAAAGUCAAAAUGUUGACUUUUGACUUUGAAAAGUCAAACUUUGACCGGCCUUAUAUUCAAAUGUGAUUUGAAUUUUGGAAAAAUGAAUGCGGAUUCAUGCUCGGGAGGUUGGAAUUAGUCAAGACGGACAAAAUGGAAAAAAGUCAAAAUAUUGACUUUUGACUUAGAAAAGUCAAAGUUUGACUUUUGACUAGAAAAAUCUGAUGACCAUUUUACCCUUGGACUAAGUUAGUGGGAAAAUCCAACAUUUUGUUGGAUAAUCCCACUAACUCUUAGUGGGA